GAUGAACGCUAGCGGCAGGCCUAAUACAUGCAAGUCGAGGGAGAAGUUGUCUUCGGAUGACGGGAACCGGCGAACGGGUGCGUAACACGUAUGCAAUCUGCCCCUGACUGGAGCAUAGCCCGGGGAAACUCGGAUUAAUACUCCAUAACAUUAUGAAAUGGCAUCAUUUUAUAAUCAAAGUUCCGACGGUCAGGGAUGAGCAUGCGGCCCAUUAGCUUGUUGGUGAGGUAACGGCUCACCAAGGCUACGAUGGGUAGGGGGUCUGAGAGGAUGAUCCCCCACACUGGUACUGAGACACGGACCAGACUCCUACGGGAGGCAGCAGUAGGGAAUAUUGGGCAAUGGACGAAAGUCUGACCCAGCCAUGCCGCGUGCAGGAUGACUGCCCUAUGGGUUGUAAACUGCUUUUCUACGGGAAGAAACACUCAUACGUGUGUGAGCUUGACGUACCGUAGGAAUAAGGAUCGGCUAACUCCGUGCCAGCAGCCGCGGUAAUCG
rnacentral:rRNA from 1 species